ensembl:snRNA Gm23817 predicted gene, 23817
AUGCUAACUUUGGUGGUGGCACAUAUACUAAAUUUGGAACAAUACAGCAAAGAUUUGUACAGCCUCUGUGCAUGGUGAUAUGAAAGAAUGUGAAUCAUCUUUU